rnacentral:rRNA from 1 species
CCUACGGGAGGCAGCAGUUAGGAAUCUUCCACAAUGGGCGAAAGCCUGAUGGAGCGACGCCGCGUGAGGGAUGAAGGUUUUCGGAUCGUAAACCUCUGAAUCAGGGACGAAAGACGCUUUAUGCGGGAUGACGGUACCUGAGUAAUAGCACCGGCUAACUCCGUGCCAGCAGCCGCGGUAAUACGGAGGGUGCAAGCGUUACCCGGAAUCACUGGGCGUAAAGGGCGUGUAGGCGGGAUGUUAAGUCUGGCUUUAAAGACCGGGGCUCAACCUCGGGAGUGGGCUGGAUACUGGCAUUCUUGACCUCUGGAGAGGUACUCGGAAUUUCUGGUGUAGCGGUGGAAUGCGUAGAUACCAGAAGGAACACCGAUGGCGAAGGCAGAGUACUGGACAGAAGGUGACGCUGAGGCGCGAAAGUGUGGGGAGCGAACCGGAUUGGAUACCCGGGGUAGUCCACACCCUAAACGAUGUACGUUGGAUGACGGCAGGAUGCUGUCGUUGUCGAAGUUAACGCGAUAACGUACCGCCUGGGAAGUACGGCCGCAAGGUUGAAACUCAAAUGAAUUGACGGCUGAGAGNGCGAGCGACGACGAGGAGAG